GAUGAACGCUGGCGGCGUGCCUAACACAUGCAAGUCGAGCGAACAGACGCUGCGCUUGCUGCUCUGACGUUAGCCGCAGACGGGUGAGUAACACGUGGAUAACCUACCUAUAAUACUGGGAUCUCUUCGGGACACCGGAGCUAAUAGCGGAUAAUAUAUUGAUCCGUAUGGUUCAAUAGUGAGAGACGGUUUUGCUGUCACUUAUAGAUGGAUCCGCGCCGCAUUAGCUAGUUGGUAAGGUCACGGCUUACCAAGGCAACGAUGCGUAGCCGACGUGAGAGAGUGAGCGGCCACACGGGACAUGAGACGCGGUCCAGACUACUAAGGGAGGCACCAGUAGGGAAUCUUACGCAAUGGGAGAAAGCCUGGCAGAAAAACGACGAGUGAGAGAUGGAAAUGUUCGGAGCGUAAAAAUCGGUUAAUAGGGAAAAACAAAUGUGGAAGGAACAGUGAACGUCGUGACGGUAACGAAUAAAAAAGCAACGGCUAACUAAGUG
rnacentral:rRNA from 1 species